UCGGGAAUUUUGGGCAAUGGGGGAAACCCUGACCCAGCAACGCCGCGUGAAGGAUGAAGUAUUUCGGUAUGUAAACUUCGAAAGAAUAGGAAGAAUAAAUGACGGUACUAUUUAUAAGGUCCGGCUAACUACGUGCCAGCAGCCGCGGUAAUACGUAGGGACCAAGCGUUGUUCGGAUUUACUGGGCGUAAAGGGCGCGUAGGCGGCAUGACAAGUCACUUGUGAAAUCUCUGGGCUUAACCCAGAACGGCCAAGUGAUACUGUCGCGCUAGAGUGCAGAAGGGGCAAUCGGAAUUCUUGGUGUAGCGGUGAAAUGCGUAGAUAUCUGGAGGAAUACCGGUGGCGAAGGCGGCAUCCUGGACCAUUACUGACGCUGAGGCGCGAAAGCUAGGGGAGCAAACGGGAUUAGAUACCCAAGUAGUCCCUGAGCGGGCUGGCAAGGCGCAU
rnacentral:rRNA from 1 species